AAGGGUAUAGUUGGGUGGCAGAGUGUAUGCCUAGUAGGCAUGAAGUCCUGGGUUCAAUCCCCAGUACCUCCA
rnacentral:tRNA from 1 species